GCAAGUAGGGUGGGAGUUUUCAAACUUAACUAAUGAAAAAAGUAAUCCCAGAAUGAACAAAAAGACGUUUCAUCCCAGGAUAUCACUAUUAUAUCAAAGGAUAAGAAGUACAGAUCUGAGAGAAAUAGAAUCCUGCACAGAAGCUUCUCCGUCUCUCGUCUUUGUCAUUAGGUACAAUCAGCAAAAGGUAGUAAGGAAAUUGCCAACUAACUGAAAGCAGCAGAUGUGAUGAUGAAAUCAAGGUAUUUCCUAAGGUUCAGAAGACCUUACAGAAAUGACAGAAAUGGGCGAUUUAUUUCAUGUGGCUGUUGGUUCGAAAUUAAUUAAAAUGCAAGCAACGAAGAAAGAAAUAGC